rnacentral:rRNA from 1 species
AUUGAACGCUGGCGGCAUGCCUUACACAUGCAAGUCGAACGGUAACAGGUCUUCGGAUGCUGACGAGUGGCGAACGGGUGAGUAAUACAUCGGAACGUGCCCGAUCGUGGGGGAUAACGGAGCGAAAGCUUUGCUAAUACCGCAUACGAUCUACGGAUGAAGGCAGGGGACCGCAAGGCCUUGCGCGGACGGAGCGGCCGAUGGCAGAUUAGGUAGUUGGUGGGAUAAAAGCUUACCAAGCCGACGAUCUGUAGCUGGUCUGAGAGGACGACCAGCCACACUGGGACUGAGACACGGCCCAGACUCCUACGGGAGGCAGCAGUGGGGAAUUUGGACAAUGGGCGCAAGCCUGAUCCAGCCAUGCCGCGUGCAGGAUGAAGGCCUUCGGGUUGUAAACUGCUUUUGUACGGAACGAAAAGACUCUUUCUAAUAAAGAGGGUCCAUGACGGUACCGUAAGAAUAAGCACCGGCUAACUACGUG